rnacentral:rRNA from 1 species
GACGAACGCUGGCGGCGUGCUUAACACAUGCAAGUCGAGCGGAAAGGCCCCUUUGGGGGUACUCGAGCGGCGAACGGGUGAGUAACACGUGAGUAAUCUGCCCUUCACUUUGGGAUAACCCCCGGAAACGGGAGCUAAUACCGGAUACGACCACCGUCUGCAUGGACUGGUGGUGGAAACUUUUUUGGGUGGGGGAUGUGCUCGCGGCCUAUCAGCUUGUUGGUGGGGUAAUGGCCUACCAAGGCUUUGACGGGUAGCCGGCCUGAGAGGGUGACCGGCCACACUGGGACUGAGACACGGCCCAGACUCCUACGGGAGGCAGCAGUGGGGAAUAUUGGACAAUGGGCGGAAGCCUGAUCCAGCAACGCCGCGUGAGGGAUGACGGCCUUCGGGUUGUAAACCUCUUUCAGCACCGACGAAGCGUGAGUGACGGUAGGUGCAGAAGAAGGACCGGCCAACUACGUGCCAGCCGCCGCCGUAACAC